rnacentral:rRNA from 1 species
GACGAACGCUGGCGGCGUGCCUAAUACAUGCAAGUAGAACGCACAGUUUAUACCGUAGCUUGCUACACCAUAGACUGUGAGUUGCGAACGGGUGAGUAACGCGUAGGUAACCUGCCUGGUAGCGGGGGAUAACUAUUGGAAACGAUAGCUAAUACCGCAUAAUAUUGAUUAUUGCAUGAUAAUUGAUUGAAAGAUGCUAUUGCAUCACUACCAGAUGGACCUGCGUUGUAUUAGCUAGUAGGUGAGGUAACGGCUCACCUAGGCGACGAUACAUAGCCGACCUGAGAGGGUGAUCGGCCACACUGGAACUGAGACACGGCCCAGACUCCUACGGGAGGCAGCAGUAGGGAAGCUUCGGCAAUGGACGAAAGUCUGACCGAGCAACGCCGCGUGAGGGAAGAAGGUUUUCGGAUCGUAAAGCUCUGUUGUAAGAGAAGAACGGGUGUGAGAGUGGAAAGUUCACACUGUGACGGUAUCUGACCAGAAAGGGACGGCUAACUACGUG